AGGAUAAACGCUGGCGGCGUGCCUAAUGCAUGCAAGUCGCACGGAGUGUCUCUUCGGAGGCAUUGAGUGGCGAACGGGUGAGGAACGCGUGGACAACCUACCCCGGCGUGGGGGAUACCCGCCAGAAAAUGGCGGCUAAUACCGCGUACGGUCGUCGAACGAAGGGUUUGACGAAGAAAGCAGUAAUGCGCGCUGGGAGGGGUCUGCGGCCGAUUAGCUUGUUGGCGGGGUAAUGGCUCACCAAGGCGAUGAUCGGUAGCUGGUCUGAGAGGAUGAUCAGCCACACGGGGACUGAGAGACGGCCCCGACUCCUACGGGAGGCAGCAGCAAGGAAUUUUCCGCAAUGGGGCAACCCUGACGGAGCAACGCCGCGUGACGGAUGACGCCUCUUGGGUGUAAACGUCUUUUGCCGUAGGGAGAGAAUGGACGGUACUCGGCGAAUAAGGACCGGCUAACUACGUGCCAGCAGCCGC
rnacentral:rRNA from 1 species